rnacentral:rRNA from 1 species
GACGAACGCUGGCGGCGUGCUUAACACAUGCAAGUCGAACGGAAAGGCCCUGCUUUUGUGGGGUGCUCGAGUGGCGAACGGGUGAGUAACACGUGAGUAACCUGCCCUUGACUUUGGGAUAACUUCAGGAAACUGGGGCUAAUACCGGAUAGGAGCUCCUGCUGCAUGGUGGGGGUUGGAAAGUUUCGGCGGUUGGGGAUGGACUCGCGGCUUAUCAGCUUGUUGGGGGGGUAGUGGCUUACCAAGGCUUUGACGGGUAGCCGGCCUGGGGGGGUGACCGGCCACAUUGGGACUGAGAUACGGCCCAGACGCCUACGGGAGGCAGCAGUGGGGAAUAUUGCACAAUGGGCGGAAGCCUGAUGCAGCAACGCCGCGUGCGGGAUGACGGCCUUCGGGUUGUAAACCGCUUUCGCCUGUGACGAAGCGUGAGUGACGGUAAUGGGUAAAGAAGCACCGGCUAACUACGUG